rnacentral:rRNA from 1 species
UUACUAAUGGAAGCGGUUAGUGGCGGACUGGUGAGUAACGCGUAAGCAACCUGCCUAUUAGUAGGGAAUAACAGUGAGAAAUCAUUGCUAAUACCGUAUAAGCUGGAAACAUCGCAUGAUGUAGUCAGAAAAGGAGCAAUUCGCUAAUAGAUGGGCUUGCGUCUGAUUAGUUAGUUGGUGGGGUAACGGCCUACCAAGACGAUGAUCAGUAGCCGGACUGAGAGGUUAAACGGCCACAUUGGGACUGAGAUACGGCCCAGACUCCUACGGGAGGCAGCAGUCGGGAAUAUUGCGCAAUGGAGGAAACUCUGACGCAGUGACGCCGCGUGCAGGAAGAAGGUUUUCGGAUUGUAAACUGCUUUAGACAGGGACGAAACAAAUGACGGUACCUGUAGAAUAAGCUCCGGCUAACUACGUGCCAGCAGCCGCGGUAAUACGUAGGGAGCAAGCGUUAUCCGGAUUUAUUGGGUGUAAAGGGUGCGUAGACGGAUAAACAAGUUAGUUGUGAAAUACCUCGGCUUAACUGAGGAACUGCAACUAAAACUAUAUAUCUUGAGUACUGGAGGGGAAAGCGGAAUUCCUAGUGUAGCGGUGAAAUGCGUAGAUAUUAGGAAGAACACCGGUGGCGAAGGCGGCUUUCUGGACAGCAACUGACGUUGAGGCACGAAAGUGUGGGGAGCAAACAGGAUUAGAUACCCUGGUAGUCCACACCGUAAACGAUGGAUACUAGGUGUUGGCUGUGAUGAGCAGUCAGUGCCGUCGCAAACGCAGUAAGUAUCCCACCUGGGGAGUACGACCGC